UUUUGUGCUCAUCUCUCAUCUCCCUUGUCUAACCUCUCCAUCUCUCACCUCCCUUACCACCACCCCUCCACCUUCUCUCAACACCACUCAAUUCCAUCAGGAAGACUACAAACCGUAGCCCAGGAAGGGAUACUGGGUUGGGAUUGGGAUCCAUACAACAUCAUUCUCUUGUGUUAUUGGAACUGAAUCCAGAUGAUUAUGGUUUUGGGUGGUUUGCAUGCAAUCAGCAUGAAGUGGCUUAGGAUAAGAUGGUAUGAGAGAAACCUGCUGGAGUGUGAUGCUCUAGGCACCAUUUAUGAACUUCAGGAAAUUCCCAAGAGAUCCGUCAAUGAAGUAUCCUUGGGUCCUAGUGGCGCAUGUUGUCGGUAGAGCCGCGAAAUUUCUUGGCAACUUCGUGCCUCUUAAGUCUAUAAUUUGACUUGGUAAACAGACCCAAGGAAAAAUGAAAAUUCCUGGCAACUUCGUGUCUCUAAAUUGUGGAAAAAAACUGAAGAAGCAAAACAAACGCGGUUUCAAUGUCUAAAGUCUAAAUUGUGGUGGUUGGCAUCAUGUCGGUAGAGCCGCGUCCAAAAUUUAAUAUAGAAGGAAAUUUCUUGGCAACUUCGUUCGUGCCUCUUAAGUCUAUAAUUUGACUUGGUAAACAGACCCUUGGCAUCAUGUCGGUAGAGCCGCGUCAAAAAUUUAAUAUGGAAGGAAAUUUCUUGGCAACUUCGUUCGUGCCUCUUAAGUCUAUAAUUUGACUUGGUAAACAGACCCUUGGCAUCAUGUCGGUAGAGCCGCGUCAAAAAUUUAAUAUAGAAGGAAAUUUCUUGGCAACUUCUUUCGUGCCUCUUAAGUCUAUAAUUUGACUUGGUAAACAGACCCUUGGCCCAAGGAAAAAGGAAAAUUCCUAGCAACUUCGUUCCUCUAAAUUGUGGAAAAAAACUGAAAGAAAAAAAACAAACGCGGUUUCAAAGUCUAGAUUGUGGUGUUAAGUCUAUAAUGGUGGGCUAGUUUCACUUGGUAAACAGACCCUUAGCCAAGGAAAAUUCUUGGCAAGUAGCGGUUUUGUUGCCUUUUAAGGGUGAAGUAAUACCAGAAUUAUUUAGUUGACCAUUCAGAGCUAAUGAAAACAAUCUUUUGUUCAAAA